UAUNGCACAAUGGAGGAAACCCUGAUGCAGCNACGCCGCGUGAGUGAAGAAGGAUUUCGGGAUGUAAAGCUCUAUCUGCAGGGAAGAAAAUGACGGUACCUGACUAAGAAGCCCCGGCUCACUACGUGCCCGCAGCCGCGGUAAUACGUAGGGGGCAAGCGUUAUCCGGAUUUACUGGGUGUAAAGGGAGCGUAGGUGGCAGGGCAAGUCAGAUGUGAAAACCCGGGGCUCAACCCCGGGAGUGCAUUUGAAACUGUCCAGCUGGAGUGCAGGAGAGGUAAGCGGAAUUCCUAGUGUAGCGGUGAAAUGCAUAGAUAUUAGGAGGAACACCAGUGGCGAAGGCGGCUUACUGGACUGUAACUGACACUGAGGCUCGAAAGCGUGGGGAGCAAACAGG
rnacentral:rRNA from 1 species